UACGGAGGGUGCGAGCGUUAAUCGGAAUAACUGGGCGUAAAGGGCACGCAGGCGGCUAUUUAAGUGAGGUGUGAAAGCCCCGGGCUUAACCUGGGAAUUGCAUUUCAGACUGGGUAGCUAGAGUACUUUAGGGAGGGGUAGAAUUCCACGUGUAGCGGUGAAAUGCGUAGAGAUGUGGAGGAAUACCGAAGGCGAAGGCAGCCCCUUGGGAAUGUACUGACGCUCAUGUGCGAAAGCGUGGGGAGCAAACAGG
rnacentral:rRNA from 1 species